rnacentral:rRNA from 1 species
GACGAAGGGGGCAAGCGUUGUUCGGAAUUACUGGGCGUAAAGGGUUCGUAGGUGGCUGGCUAAGCCAGACGUGAAAUCCCUCAGCUUAACUGGGGAACUGCGUCUGGGACUGGUCGGCUUGAGUGCAGGAGAGGAACGCGGAAUUCCAGGUGUAGCGGUGAAAUGCGUAGAUAUCUGGAGGAACACCGGAGGCGAAGGCGGCUUGCUGGGCGUUGUCUGACGCUGAGGCGCGAAAGCGUGGGGAGCGAACAGG